rnacentral:tRNA from 1 species
GGGCAGAUGGCUCAGUGAGUAAGAGCGCUUGCUGUACAAGCAUGAGGACCUGAGUUCGGAUCCCAGAGCCCA